AGUGAACGCUGGCGGUAGGCCUAACACAUGCAAGUCGAACGGCAGCACAGUAAGAGCUUGCUCUUACGGGUGGCGAGUGGCGGACGGGUGAGGAAUACAUCGGAAUCUACUUUUUCGUGGGGGAUAACGUAGGGAAACUUACGCUAAUACCGCAUACGACCUACGGGUGAAAGCAGGGGAUCUUCGGACCUUGCGCGAUUGAGUGAGCCGAUGUCGGAUUAGCUAGUUGUCGGGGUAAAGGCCCACCAAGGCGACGAUCCGUAGCUGGUCUGAGAGGAUGAUCAGCCACACUGGAACUGAGCCACGGUCCGGACUCCUACGGGAGGCAGCAGUGGGGAAUAUUGGACAAUGGGCGGGAGCCUGAUCCAGCCAUACCGAGUGGGUGAAGAAGGCCUUCGGGUUGUAAAGCCAUUUUGUUGGGAAAGAAGAGCAGCAGGUUAAUCCCCCGCUGUUCUGACGGUACCCAAAGAAUAAGCACCGGCUAACUUCGUG
rnacentral:rRNA from 1 species